rnacentral:rRNA from 1 species
GAUGAACGCUGGCGGCGUGCCUAAUACAUGCAAGUCGAGCGAAUGGAUUAAGAGCUUGCUCUUAUGAAGUUAGCGGCGGACGGGUGAGUAACACGUGGGUAACCUGCCCAUAAGACUGGGAUAACUCCGGGAAACCGGGGCUAAUACCGGAUAACAUUUUGAACCGCAUGGUUCGAAAUUGAAAGGCGGCUUCGGCUGUCACUUAUGGAUGGACCCGCGUCGCAUUAGCUAGUUGGUGAGGUAACGGCUCACCAAGGCAACGAGGCGUAGCCGACCGGAGAGGGUGCUCGGCCACACUGGGACUGAGACACGGCCCAGACUCCUACGGGAGGCAGCAGUAGGGAAUCUUCCGCAAUGGACGAAAGUCUGACGGAGCAACGCCGCGUGAGUGAUGAAGGCUUUCGGAUCGUAAAACUCUGUUGUUAGGGAAGAACAAGUGCUAGUUGAAUAAGCUGACACCUUGACGGUACCUAACCAGAAAGCCACGGCUAACUACGUGCCAGCAGCCGCAGUAA